AGAGUUUGAUCAGUGGCUCGAGGACGAACGCUGGCGGCGUGCUUAACACAUGCAAGUCGAGCGGGGACAUGAGGGAAUAAGCUUCGGCAGAAAGAAUCAUGUUCUAGCGGCGGACGGGUGAGUAACGCGUGAGCAAUCUGUCCCAGACAGGGGGAUAACACUUGGAAACAGGUGCUAAUACCGCAUAAGACCACGAGGCGGCAUCGUCUUGGGGUAAAAGGGGAGACUCGGUUUGGGGUGAGCUCGCGUCCGAUUAGCUGGUUGGUGAGGUAACGGCCCACCAAGGCGACGAUCGGUAGCCGACCUGAGAGGGCGGACGGCCACAUUGGGACUGAGACACGGCCCAAACUCC
rnacentral:rRNA from 1 species